ACCAGCGUUUCCGUAGGUGAACCUGCGUCAGGAUCAUUA
rnacentral:rRNA from 1 species